AGUAAGGAGGACUUAUGCAACGUUCAAUUUGUAUAAUGUAUUCAAAAUACGGUGGCGCGAAAGCCCGGCCGGCCGGAUCUGCAAUUAUAAUGCUCCGGAAUAAGCCGACGGUACACUUUCGGCCGCGACGUGCGGGGUUCUUCCUCGGAAUCGGGCAGCAAUCCGCGCCGGAAAAAGCCUGACAAAACCGGGGACAGCGCUAAGAGCGACACUGCAACCGUUCCUCUGCAAAGACCAUCUAUAUCCACCGAUAAUCCAUUUACAUCUAGGGCGUCGCAGCAGAUCGCACGGUUUCCCUGCUGUCACCAAGACGGCACAGCGGCUCUCGGAGCCGCGACUACGUUCGAUCUCACACUGUAACCAUUGCAUUCAUUUCCCAGGGCACUCUCGAUCACAUAUCACCACCUAUCCUCGUCGCGUACUCGUCUCGCGGGUACGAGGGACCGAGGACCACUGUUGGAUCGCUCGGGGCAACGCCGGAAACAACGGCGCCAGGUGCCGAACGGUGGGGGUCACGUCGAACGGAAAUGCGGGGAAAACAGUAGGCCACGAUCGGACACGAUAAGAUAGACGCGUGUAAGCGAAACACGGGAGAAUAAAAAUGCUAGAGAAAGGAGGAUGGUAAAAAAAUAGACCCGAUUUUGGACCAUGCUGAGAACGAAAAAUUGGAUCAGGGCAUGAUACCAUAUUUUCUAAGGUGUAUGAAAUAAACAAUUAUUUAUCUGGGAA